rnacentral:lncRNA from 1 species
AGAACAGACACAAAGUUGUUUGGGUCAUGGAACUGGCUGGAAAAGCUGGCUUAGAAACUGUGAGCUGUUUGUUUACAGCUGGAAACAGGUUCUUGUGUACAUUGUUCGACAUCAUUGAUUCCUCCUCCUAACAUGCACAACUAAGAAGGCCUGGCUAGGUGUUUAGGCAAAUGGACAGCAACAAAAAUUAGCUCAGGUUCUCUCUCUGGGCUUGACCACUCAAAGAUUGCUCAAGCUGUACUAGAUCUUCCUUCUCAGCUGUUCUAUUUCCCUUCCAUCUUAACUGAUAAAAAUGUGUGUGGUGGGGCAGAGCCCCCACAGCCCCUGCUACUGCUGUGAGAGAAAGUAUCAGCACUGGGCAGGUAAAGAUUCCCUUGUCAAGGUAAGGGAAGGACCAACAAAUCAAG